AGGACGAACGCUGGCGGCGUGCUUAACACAUGCAAGUCGAGCGGUGAUCCUCCUUCGGGAGGUGAUCAGCGGCGAACGGGUGAGUAACACGUGGGCAACCUGCCCCUCACACUGGGAUAACCUCGGGAAACCGGGGCUAAUACCGGAUACGACCUCGAGCGGCAUCUCUUGAGGUGGAAAGCUCCGACGGUGAGGGAUGGGCCCGCGGCCUAUCAGCUUGUUGGGGGGGUGACGGCCCACCAAGGCGACGACGGGUA
rnacentral:rRNA from 1 species